AAGAGGCAAAAGGAAGCCAAAUUCUCCCUUCUUGAACUAGAGCAAGUCUUGCCUUAGACGCUGGCGUUUCUGCUUCUCGGGCCUUUGGACUUGGACUGAAUGACAUUCCAGUUCUCCAUGGCCCCCAGCUUGUAUACGGAGGGUUUAUGGUAAGGCUUUCUCGUUUCCAAAAUCAUUUGAGCCAAUUCCAUUCUCCCUUAUCAUUUUAUAUACUCAUUAUGUGUGUGAGCAGGUACGUGUAGCUUCAGACAAGGCAGAAUCAACUAGAUGCAGUGACCAACUUAGGGGGCAAGGGUGAGGUAGCAGAGGAGCCCCAAGACACACCCUGUCUCACAGCUCAGACAACCAGCAUGUCCUUCCUCACCAACUCCCUCUUUCUCUCAGCCUGGAGCCUUUCCCUCCACUGGUCCAGACCUUCUAGCCAUUCAACAUCCUUUGUCAAUCCCGUGUCCACCUGGCGUAUGGGACCUGUCAGCCAAGGAGCACAGGCUGCCGAGUCAUGAUUCAAAGGGAGGCCAGUGACCAUUUUCUUAAGACCAGGAUAAAAUGUUGCCCUGCCCAAGGCAACAAUUCCCCUGGGAUGUGUAAGCCCUGGGCAAAUAACAUUUUGAAGAGCCCUUGUCAACAAAAGCGCUUUGACUUUAAAACACGUUGCGAAAUACCGCUGACCCACACUGAACUGACUGAAACGCUCACACAGUUGUUUACCGUUGGGCGGGUCAGUGCACAUGAAGACUCUCCACAGCACACAGAUACGAUCUCUCAGAACAGCCCAGAACCCAUCUCUUCAUGCUCUUUGUGACCAGCCGGCCCUUCCUGGCUGACUUCAUGAGUCUCAGAUUUCAAGGCUGAUAUUUCUCACAGUGAUCUGGCUCUUCCAAGGAUGUUCAUACUAAACAACGUAGAUCGUCUAGUCUCUGCAGUCUCUUAAUACCAUACCUUUAAUGCCGGUUCCUGAUGCUGACCAUAACCGCACAGCAAUGGGUGCUGACUCACGGUGAUUCUUUCCGAGGCUCUCUUGAUAAAGAUCACAAAUCCAUAGUUGUCCUGGAACUCACUCUAGACCAGACUGGCCUGGAACUCACAGAGAUCUGCCCACCUCUGUCUCCCAGAUGCUGGGAUUAAAGGUGUGUCUGCCGCUGGAAAUUGUUGUCCAACUGGGCACAACUCCUCCGGCACUCUUUUGGAAAUAGCCAGGGGUCCUUAGAAUGGGAUCAAUCUCUUACCCUGUGGACCAGGUCCCAGCUUCCAAAUGCCAUCAACAGGAAGGACUGGCCAAGGAACCCAUGGACAAGAAGAACAACAGUAUCCCUUGGGCUUGCCUACUUGUUCAGCAAAGAAGGCUGAAGACGUCAGAAUCCAGCUCCUAGCUGACUCACUCAGCAGAGGAAAACAAGACUCACUGGGGACAGACUCUUCCGAGGCUUCUUCCCAGGCAGGAAGCUCCCUCAAGCCAGUCUCCAAGACUUUGCCAGUAGCUUCAGGCUGGGGAGCUCAUUCCUGCCUCUGCCUCCAAGGGAGGCAUUCCUGCCUCUGCCUCUGCCUCCUCUGCCAGUUGACCUGCGGAAGGGAGUUCAUUCCCGCCUCUGCUUCUAGCCCCCUGCUUCUGCCAUCCCCAUGGGUAACUUGUGGACUUACUGCAGGAAGGAUUGCUCUUGGUUGGCACCUCAGAGUCCUUUGGGAGCUCUUGCGCUGUAAGGCUUCCCGAGGGUUGUGCUGCUACAGCACAGCAUGUCUUGGCUAGUCUCCAGCUACUAUGAGCACUCAACCCUGUUUCAGUUUAGACCGAUGUGGCAAUCAGUUUUAAGUAGCUCUAUCCCCUUGAGGGUUGUUAAUUCCGAAUCGAUAAUAAAGUGCCUCUGGCUUGUA